CGAGUGAAGAAGGAGAAGAAAGGGAAGGAGGAAGACGAGGAGGUGAGAAGUAUGGGGAAUGGGGUGCAGCGGAAAGGGAAGGGGAAAAGGGAGGGGUUGUAGGGAUAACUAGUAAUUUCAAAAUGUUAAGGUGAGUAACGACUCCCUAAAUAUAUCCCAAGAAUUUGCGAAACCCAAUAACCAUCUCUUCAAUGUUCCAACAAAAACCCUACUCAAAGGCAUUGUUUUGCGCACCCAAC
rnacentral:lncRNA from 1 species